UCUCGAGUAGCUCAAUUGGUGGAGCAGCCGGAUUGCAAACCCGGAAGGAUGCAGGUUCGAGUCCUGUUUCGAGAGCCA
rnacentral:tRNA from 1 species